rnacentral:rRNA from 1 species
CCUACGGGAGGCAGCAGUGGGGAAUCUUGCGCAAUGGGCGAAAGCCUGACGCAGCAACGCCGCGUGCGGGAAGAAGGCUUUCGGGCUGUAAACCGCUUUCAGCAGGAACGAAAAUGACGGUACCUGCAGAAGAAGGAGCGGCCAACUAUGUGCCAGCAGCCGCGGUGAUACAUAGGCUUCAAGCGUUGUCCGGAUUUAUUGGGCGUAAAGAGUUCGUAGGCGGUCAAGUAAGUCGGGUGUGAAAAUUCUGGGCUCAACCCCAGAGACGCCACCCGAUACUGCUUAACUUGAGUUCGAUAGGGGAGUGGGGAAUUCCUAGUGUAGCGGUGAAAUGCGCAGAUAUUAGGAGGAACACCGGUGGCGAAGGCGCCACUCUGGAUCGAUACUGACGCUGAGGAACGAAAGCAUGGGUAGCAAACAGGAUUAGAUACCCUGGUAGUCCAUGCCGUAAACGGUGGGCACUAGGUGUGGGUUUCUAUUAACGAAAUCCGCGCCGUCGCUAACGCAUUAAGUGCCCCGCCUGGGGAGUCGGUCGCAAGACUAAACUCAAAUGAAUUGACGG